UGGAAAUGAUGAUUUCUCGCUGAGCUGAUGUGAUAAAAAUCACAUAUGAAUAUACAAAGAUAGUCAAGUCCUGAUCCAG